UGUGGGAGCUGGCUUGCCUGCGAUAGCUGUAGGUCAGCUACUGAGAUGUUGACUGACAGGCCGCUAUCGCAGGCAAGCCAGCUCCCAUA
rnacentral:misc_RNA from 1 species